GGGGCCGGCCGGGAAGGAGCAGCUGCGGUCACGGGGAUGGCCCGGCGCCCGCAGCAGUGGUUCACGUCCUGCUCACUCUCCCAAAUAUAGCUGAUGUUCAUUGCAAAAGAAAGCCGGUUCCUGCAACCCGCUGUCUGAGCGACUGCUGUCCCAGGUGACAUAUUUGUAGGACUAUUUCUGUCCGUUGCUGGACGAGGGCCGGCAGCCUGAAGCAGCCGCUGGCUGGAGCGGGAGAGGGACGGACAGCGUUUAGUGACUGUCAACAGACAGGGCAGUCAGCUACCCUUCAUACGUUCUGAAGCAUGCGCGAUGGUUUUAAGAAAUACAAAGAAGAAAGGACAUGUAAUCUUAUAUUAUCUCAUCAUAGGAUUUAAUAAAGCAAAGGACUUACUCGGGAAUUUGUCCUUCUAUGUGACAAUUUUUGUUUUUAAAUUAAACUAAAUAUUUUAGUGCCGUAUAGCUCUAUGCAUGUGCAUGGUGAUCUGUACAAAAAGUAAAGGGCAUGAUUUUGUUUACUUCAGCUUUUUUGUUUACUUCGUGCAAGUUGUUCCUCAUAAGUUAGUGCAGGACUCACAAAUUUAAAUGAAUUGUCGCAUGGUAGCUGCUUCAGACUCUUACAGCUUUGUUCCUGCAGUUUGUUUUGCCUCUUUGGAGGUAGAGACUUUGCUGGAAUGACCAUUGGGGAGUUACUUAUGCAUAUAUUCACAUGGCUGAUCUUGUAGAUCUGAUUUUAGUAUUUCUAAUCGAACUUUUCUUGUGAGGUAGUUGUUUUAAACAACUUGUAUAAAUAAAGGUAUGACUCUCUGAACUGUGAAGUUGAACAGCUUAUGAUAGAGGGAGACAAGACAUCAGGCAGCAGGAAGGAAGGAGAAAGGGUUGUAUUAGGGCAGUUGUAUAUGACUCAUAGAAAUGGCUACAAUAACUCCAGGUUGCUUGGAAGCUAUAUAACCCAGAAGAAAAGAUCUUUAAAUCAGAGAGAGCACAGCAGCUUCUGAGAAGAGAUUAUAUAAAGUGG